rnacentral:rRNA from 1 species
GCUACUCUCCUCAUAGGAUACUUAUCAAAAGCUCAAUUUUGUACUGGAUCGGGGCAUCCUAUUAGUAAACCCAUUUGGACAGAUUUAUCAGAUUGGGAUAUUCUUGAUCGAUUUGGUUGGAUAUGUAGAAAUCUUUUUCAUUAUCAUAGUGGAUCUUCAAAAAAACGGACUUUGUAUCGACUAAAGUAUAUACUUGGACUUUCAUGCGCUAGAACUUUAGCUCGUAAACAUAAAAGCACGGUACGAACUUUUAUGCAACGGUUGGGUUCGGCAUUUUUAGAAGAAUUUUUUUCUACAGGACCCAAAUUGUCAACAGGCUCGCCAAGAACGUUGAAAAUUCGUCCAAGAGUAGCUCCACCGACCGAAACACUGAGAGGAGCUCCCGUGUCAAUCACUUCCAUUCCUCUCAUCAACCCGUCCGUAGCACUCAUAGCUACAGCUCUAACUCGAUUAUUUCCUAAUAAUUGUUGUACCUCACAAGUCAGUUCAAACAUCCGGCUCAAGGACAACCUGUCUCUCGCAAAGUUUUGA